ensembl:lncRNA
CUGAGAGCCUCGAUUACGUCUCUCAAUUGGCCUGCUCAAGUUGGAAACAUCAGCCAGAAGCAAAACAGCACAAUACACACACAUAGCCAUCCACUCCACCCAGAGAGGAGAGGAGCCUCAUGGGGCUCUUUCCGAACCAGGGGGUCCUGGAGCCUUUGCCUGUUCUCCUUCUUCACCCAGGUUCUCAAGGCUGGCAAGUUGGACAUCCAGGUGACAGCAGGUUUGUUUUCUGAGACAGCAUGUUCAGCACGUGGGCCGAGCGAAGGGGCCAAAUACCAAUUUGAGUAGAGACCUGUCACACGUGGCCCACCCAAGAGUGGCGUGCUCAUCAGGCCGAACUUCUCCCCGAACAAGUUUGACAUCCCGGUGGUUUUAAGAAAAGUCUUCUCAUCAUGUGUGUGUUUCAGCCUGAUGUCUGAGCGGUCCUUUCCUGCCUCGUCACCUUGAGUCUUCGCUGUCGACCCUGAUCUCUUGUAUGUCACACUCUGAAGAAGAACUUGAAGUCUUGGUGCCAGGACAUGUCCCUCUUCCCACAGUCCGGCCAGACAUAAUUCGCUCUAUUUAAAAAAUGAGGCAACGGGGUCACUGGAGGUGAAAAGGAAGUUAGGGAAUUAACCCAGCAGAUUCCAAAGUACACUCACAAGGAACAAAAGGAAAGGAAGCAGCAACAUGGAAGGAAAAAGUCCUUGCUUCCCAUGCUCUUUGGAGAGGGGCUUUCUGCCCACCAUCCAGUGGGGCCCUGGUCUUUGGAGAACCAGCGCAGCAGAGUAAACAGG